GCAGCAGUGGGGAAUAUUGCACAAUGGGCGAAAGCCUGAUGCAGCGACACCGCGUGAGGGAUGAAGGCCUUCGGGUUGUAAACCUCUUUCAGCAGGGAAGAAGCGAUGGGGUUCUCUUCGUCGUGACGGUACCUGCAGAAGAAGCGCCGGCUAACUACGUGCCAGCAGCCGCGGUAAUACGUAGGGCGCAAGCGUUGUCCGGAAUUAUUGGGCGUAAAGAGCUCGUAGGCGGUCUGUCGCGUCUGUUGUGAAAACUCGAGGCUCAACCUCGGGCUUGCAGUGGAUACGGGCAGACUAGAGUGCGGUAGGGGAGACUGGAAUUCCUGGUGUAGCGGUGGAAUGCGCAGAUAUCAGGAGGAACACCGAUGGCGAAGGCAGGUCUCUGGGCCGCAACUGACGCUGAGGAGCGAAAGCAUGGGGAGCGAACAGGAUUAGAUACCCUGGUAGUCCAUGCCGUAAACGUUGGGCACUAGGUGUGGGGCUCAUUCCACGAGUUCCGUGCCGCAGCUAACGCAUUAAGUGCCCCGCCUGGGGAGUACGGCCGCAAGGCUAAAACUCAAAGAAAUUGACGGGGGCCCGCACAAGCGGCGGAGCAUGCGGAUUAAUUCGAUGCAACGCGAAGAACCUUACCAAGGCUUGACAUAUACCGGAAAAGUGCAGAGAUGUGCUCCCCGC
rnacentral:rRNA from 1 species